rnacentral:lncRNA from 1 species
UGGGAAGCUGGAGAGACUGCUGGUUUCCAUGGUGAUGGCCGAAAUCUUCAUUUCUAUUCUCCUGACUUCUGCAGUGGGCCAGGAGAAGCUGUAAGGGGAAACUGCUACCUUUUCAUCUCCUGGGAUCUGGGAUGGGAUGGGGAGGUUGGUGAGGGUAGAGGUAGGUCUUUGACAGGGGUAGAAUCUCUAGUUACAAGAUUAAUUGAGUUAUCUCCUCUGAUAUCUCUAGGUAUCUUCAAGAAGUCUGUGGAUAGAAAGAAGCAGCAGAAGCUGGAGAUCCUUCUUACCGGUGGCAAGCCAGAAAUUGCAAAUAGUGCCAUCUUCUUCACUCGUGUCUACGCUGGAUCAGUUAUCACCUUCCCAGUCUACAGGUCCGUGUGGUUGGCCAAUGUCUCUGCAUUGUUUGCUGCCCAAAUGACCAUUGUUCAAAUAAAAUAUUUUACCCAGUCGGAAUUAAGUGAUAUUCACUACAAUUAUUAGGGGUUCUAGAAAAGCAUUUUAAAAAAUUUACAUGGCUUUGAAGAAAGGAUAUAAAUGAGAAAGUUAUGAUUAAUGUGGAGAAGAGAAAGGUCGGGAACGGAAUGGGGAGAUAGAGGAAGUAGGGAGGAGAGGACAUACUGAUCAAUGGAUUUGAAGUACUGAAAGCUCAAGAAGAGGAGAAUGCUGGUUUUUCCUGAGGCCAGAGCAGAAACAACUGGGGCUUUAACCGUGAGCGAUUAGGAUUAGACUAAAGGAAGCACUGCCUUGCUGGGAGGUUGAAAGAGGCUACUCCUGAGAAAGACUGUGGGAUCGCCUAUUCUUAGCAAUCCUGAGUAAAGGAGCAGUGAGAGUGGGGGGAGCCAGCGCAGAAUGAGAACGGCAGGAAGAAUCCCGUGCUGCCCUCCUCUCAGCUGUUUUCUGUCCUCCCUUAUCAGUCAGGAUUGUCCAAUCCCGCUGUCUGAAACGGAUUUGAUGACUCAACAAUGACCAAUUAGGCGUUAACACAUCUAUCUCUGGGGCUAUCUAGCCAUCUUUAUGGAGAACAGGAUCUUAAAUCUUUGCUCAUCAGGACAGCCAGAGGCUUUGCCUAAACAGUGGAAAGAGCCAUAGACAUUUUUCAUAAUUAUAAUGACUUUUUACAGGGAGAGCCAUAACUCCUGCUCCAUAACUCUAGUGUGAGAGAGGAGCCCAUUGCAGAUUCUGUGACGCGGGGAAUGGAGCCGUCAGAGGGCUGGUCUUCUUCAGGCAGUCUGUGCUUUCCUACCAGGGACAACUUCUGGGAGUAAAAUUCACAAAGGAAGAUAAGAUGAUUUCUAUUCUGGGCAGCCUUCUCCUGAGACGAGACAGACUGCGAUCUCCAGAGGUAGACGGAGUGACAAAAGGUCAGGAAAUUAAUGAGUGGGACAUGGCCUGGCCAAGCUCCAAAUAGCUGUUUGUGGGGAAGGGCAUUGUGGGGGUCCUUAGUUAUGAAAGUCUUCCUGAUGGAGCUGAAAAGGAAGAG